UACGAAGGAUCCAAGCGUUAUCCGGAUUUAUUGGGUUUAAAGGGCGCGUAGGCGGCGUGUCAAGUCAGGCGUGAAAGCCCCGGGCUCAACCUGGGAACCGCGCUUGAGACUGGCAUGCUCGAGUUCGGGAGAGGAUGGUGGAAUUCCCAGUGUAGAGGUGAAAUUCGUAGAUAUUGGGAAGAACACCGAUGGCGAAGGCAGCCAUCUGGACCGACACUGACGCUGAGGCGCGAAAGCGUGGGGAGCAAACAGG
rnacentral:rRNA from 1 species